AGUGAACGCUGGCGGUAGGCCUAACACAUGCAAGUCGAACGGCAGCACAGGAGAGCUUGCUCUCUGGGUGGCGAGUGGCGGACGGGUGAGGAAUACAUCGGAAUCUACCUUUUCGUGGGGGAUAACGUAGGGAAACUUACGCUAAUACCGCAUACGACCUACGGGUGAAAGUGGGGGACCGCAAGGCCUGACGCGAUUAGAUGAGCCGAUGUCCGGUUAGCUAGUUGGCGGGGUAAUGGACCACCAAGGCGACGAGCGGUAGCUGGUCUGAGAGGAUGAUCAGCCACACUGGAACUGAGACACGGUCCAGACUCCUACGGGAGGCAGCAGUGGGGAAUAUUGGACAAUGGGCGCAAGCCUGAUCCAGCCAUACCGCGUGGGUGAAGAAGGCCUUCGGGUUGUAAAGCCCUUUUGUUGGGAAAGAAAUCCUGUCGAUUAAUACUCGGUGGGGAUGACGGUACCCAAAGAAUAAGCACCGGCUAACUUCGUGCCAGCCGCCGCCGUAACAC
rnacentral:rRNA from 1 species